rnacentral:rRNA from 1 species
AUUGAACGCUGGCGGCAGGCUUAACACAUGCAAGUCGAGCGGAGAUGAGGUGCUUGCACCUUAUCUUAGCGGCGGACGGGUGAGUAAUGCUUAGGAAUCUGCCAUUUAGUGGGGGACAACAUUCCGAAAGGAAUGCUAAUACCGCAUACGUCCUACGGGAGAAAGCAGGGGAUCUUCGGACCUUGCGCUAAAUGAUGAGCCUAAGUCGGAUUAGCUAGUUGGUGGGGUAAAGGCCUACCAAGGCGACGAUCUGUAGCGGGUCUGAGAGGAUGAUCCGCCACACUGGGACUGAGACACGGCCCAGACUCCUACGGGAGGCAGCAGUGGGGAAUAUUGGACAAGGGGGGGAACCCUGAUCCAGCCAUGCCGCGGGUGUGAAGAAGGCCUUAUGGUUGUAAAGCACGUUAAGCGAGGAGGAGGCUACUGAGACUAAUACUCUUGGAUAGUGGACGUUACUCGCAGAAUAAGCACCGGCUAACUCUGUG